GCCAGAGUGGUGUAGUGGUUUGAACACUGGACUACGACUCUAGAGAGCAGGAUUCAAAUCCCUGCUUGGCU